UCUUCCUUUCCAAGGUUAGCUGAAUGUGGUAUCUGUGGCACAUUAUGCUUGCAAGGGUUUAUCAUUAAAAAAUUUCCAAUGGCACCUAGUGUAUGUGAAUAUAUGAUUUUUUUCACUAUAUGAUUAACUCCUAGUGUUGAUUGACGCUACACUUGUAUACUUGUUAACCACGUCUUCACAUUCAUAGUCUUGGAUUAGGAACAGGCUACAUGUAUUCAUGGUACCCUUCAGGCAAAACCAAUCCAUUUAGCGGUUCCUCUAAUGCUCUUUCAUAGA
rnacentral:lncRNA from 1 species